AUUGACCACCAGGUGGCAGUGAUUCGUCAUGGGAAAGUGUUUCACUAACUACCAAAGUGUACGGGUCUGUAUCUUCGUCGUCUCGUGUGUCCUCAUCUUGCUUCGUUUAUAAAUCGUUGGCCUACAUGAUUUUCACACAAAAGCUGGAAUUUAUAAAAACUAAACCUAACUUGAAAAUGUGCUUUCCUCCCCCUGCAAACUUUAAACCAUAUGUACGAACAGUUUAUAUUGGUGAAAGAUUGUUUUCCUAGAAGGCAACAGUCGCAGGAAUAUAUGACGACACUCUAUUUCAGAACAAUAAAACAGGAAACUAAAUCGAAAAGGCAAUUGUUUGUGUUCGUGAGAAGAGUGAAACUAUCAUUACUGUUGUCCUUGUAUCCAGUAUGUCAGGAUGGCCGAGCGGUCUAAGGCGCUGCGUUCAGGUCGCAGUCUCCCCUGGAGGCGUGGGUUCGAAUCCCACUUCUGACAGUCUGUUUUGUUGUGCUCCCGAGUGGCGCAGCGGUGUAAAGACAAUGCAUCUCAGCGCUAGUGCCGUUUACUACAAACACCCUGGUUUGAAUCCAGGCUGUAUCACAACCCAUUUCAUUGGACCUACUGUACAGUAGUUCCUUAUUUCUUUUGUGGAUUGUGUUUCUGCGUCGGUGGAAAGUUGCCGAGCCGAUGAGCCCACCAGCCUUCGCAUCAAAUACAUGCAUCUGGAUUACGAUGAUGGUGAUGAAUGAAUCUGACACACAAUGUGGAUAUUUUCUUUUUUCCUUUUGAUCAGGAAUGAUAUUUUUUUUUUUUAAUUUGGGGGGGGGGUGAAAUAUGCAUUAAAAAAAGGACAGUAAAUUACCCAUAAUUCCUGCAUCUUUUGAUAGUUGUAUUUCCAAAUUUGAUCAUCAUGAUUUAGUUACUGCAAAGACAAUCUAUUGAUCUGAAAUCAAAUCAAAUCUACUUAAAAGACAGACUAACUUUCUGUUUUGUCACCUUAGACUCAACAAAUAUAUGUUUGUGUUCAUCUUUUUUGCAGACAGUCAUGUUUUAAAGAGCGCACUUGCGAUUCUGACGGUAUCAUUUGGUUUGGAUUCAUGUACUUGUUUUGAGAAGACAGCUACAUUUAAAAAUAUAAAAUAAAAAGUACUGUUUUGCAAACUG